GCCGGAAUAGCUCAGUUGGGAGAGCGUUAGACUGAAGGUUGCAAACUGACAUCUAAAGGCCCCCGGUUCAAUCCCGGGUUCCGGCA
rnacentral:tRNA from 1 species